AGGCAAGGUGCUCUCACGAAUCGCACCUUCCUAUUUCGUCAAAACGUCCAAGAACUUCAGCGUUAUUUGGUUAAGUUCUGGAGUGAAGGCGGCCAAGAUUGGUGUUCGAAUCGGACUUUCAAGAAAACGUGAUUUUCGGACUUGUCAAGGAAAUUCCAGAAUUGUUGGUAUCCAUUCCGUCAAGAAAACUCGAACUCGGGA